UACGUAGGGUGCGAGCGUUAAUCGGAAUUACUGGGCGUAAAGCGUGCGCAGGCGGUUUUGUAAGUCAGAUGUGAAAUCCCCGGGCUCAACCUGGGACCUGCAUUUGUGACUGCAAGGCUAGAGUACGGCAGAGGGGGAUGGAAUUCCGCGUGUAGCAGUGAAAUGCGUAGAUAUGCGGAGGAACACCGAUGGCGAAGGCAAUCCCCUGGGCCUGUACUGACGCUCAUGCACGAAAGCGUGGGGAGCAAACAGG
rnacentral:rRNA from 1 species